rnacentral:rRNA from 1 species
UACAGAGGUCUCAAGCGUUGUUCGGAAUCACUGGGCGUAAAGGGUGCGUAGGCCGCACGGUAAGUCAGAGGUGAAAUCCCGGAGCUCAACUUCGGAAUUGCCUCCGAUACUGCCGUGCUUGAGGACUGGGAGAGGAGAUUGGAAUUCACAGUGGAGCGAGUGAAAUGCGUAGAUAUUGUGAGGGAACACUAGUGGCGAAGGCGAAUC